CUGGGAUGCCUCACAAUGUGGUAUCAAAUGUUCUGAGUGCAUUGAUUCUUCUGGUAUGAUUCAGGAUGUUAUGUCUAAUGUUCUAAGUACAACGGAUCCUCUGGCUCAUGUUUUGAACACCGGUGUCUUGCUUGGGGAUUUUGUGAAAGCUGAAAUGCCUUUUGGAAGCCAGGUCUGUGUGGCAGGAGUAGAAAACCGGGGCUAGGCCUUUGGAAAUUAUAACUGCCCUUGGUUUGAAUCCCUUGUGUGCCUUGAGUCGAGCCUGGUAUUGCUGAAGGCCAAACUGAUUAUCAUCAUCUGAGCUGGCAGUCAAGUUGUCUACAGAUCCUCAUCUAAUAAGCUCAGAAGCAGAUGUACUUGCCGAUUGGUGCUGUCUGUAAGGUGGAGGGAAACAUCUUGAUGUUAAACUAAACGAGAAAUAAUUGAAAGGAUCACUGCGAUGACAGGAGAGGGAUUAUUAUUCUGAUGGAAUUAGAACUCCACGGUUGAGAGUCAUUCGUUCGUGCUAGUGCAGCAGAAGGAUAUAUUUCUUGGCUUAGAUGUCAAGCACAUCUAAGAGAUCUCAGCUGGGGCCUCUUCAAGGAUUCUGUGCUUGAAGACAACCAGAGUCAAGCAACAGAGGGUGGACUACCAGAGGUAGAGUGGAUGAGAGAGAUACACAAGCUUGUUCUCCAGAUAACUUCUAGACUUCAAUUCGUCAAUUGUCUUGCUAAAAACUGUGAUGAAAACUACAUAAAGCUGAUCUAAGAAAGGAAAGCCAGCCUGGAUGACCCAACUUCAGGUUUCGACAGUACUGGACUCUGAUUUCCUCUUUGGUUGGAUAGAUCUGGAGUGAGAGAAGCACCAUGUUGUCUGCAGGCCAGAAGAUGAUCAACACAGGGACUAAGGGCCAAACAUGUUCUUUGUCCCACUGAGAACAGAUUCCAAGCUCAAAGAGGAGGCUAAGAUUAAAUUUAAAUUAUAUUCAGCUUUGUAAUGCAUUAUUAAUUUUUAACUAUGUGAAACUUAGUUACAUUGUAUUGAAGGAAUCAAAUACUAGCAACUCCUUAUGUUCCAACCUACAAGUGGAUUGGAAUAAUCUAAUUGCCAAAAUAAAAUUAUUCUUGAUAAUGAGAGGAACAGAAA